AGCGAACGCUGGCGGCAGGCCUAACACAUGCAAGUCGAACGAACCCUUCGGGGUUAGUGGCGGACGGGUGAGUAACACGUGGGAACGUGCCUUUAGGUUCGGAAUAACUCAGGGAAACUUGUGCUAAUACCGAAUGUGCCCUUCGGGGGAAAGAUUUAUCGCCUUUAGAGCGGCCCGCGUCUGAUUAGCUAGUUGGUGAGGUAAAGGCUCACCAAGGCUACGAUCAGUAGCUGGUCUGAGAGGAUGACCAGCCACAUUGGGACUGAGACACGGCCCAAACUCCUACGGGAGGCAGCAGUGGGGAAUCUUGCGCAAUGGGCGAAAGCCUGACGCAGCCAUGCCGCGUGGAUGAUGAAGGUCUUAGGAUUGUAAAAUCCUUUCACCGGUGAAGAUAAUGACUGUAGCCGGAGAAGAAGCCCCGGCUAACUUCGUGCCAGCAGCCGCGGUAACAC
rnacentral:rRNA from 1 species